rnacentral:lncRNA from 1 species
ACUUUGAUUAUAUAGCAGGUUCAGUUCCAGACCACCACAAUGAACUGAGCAUCACACUAAAAUGUAUUCCCACUAGGCAGGAAAUUGGAUUGAGUUUUCUCUAGACAAAUGGUUCUUGAUUGUGGCCUCAGGCCCAGCAACACCAGUAUCACCUGAAACUUAUUACAAAUGCAAAUUUUCAGACUCUGUGCACUGACUGAAAACAUCCAAGUGUGGGGCCUAGCAAUUUUUGUUUUAACAAGACAUCCAAGUGAUUCUGAAGCACUCAGGUGUGAAUAUCAAACUCAAGAUUUGAGAACCACUGCUCUAGAAAAACUGAUUGGCCCAAGAGAUCUGGCGUCAACUACUUCACUCUACCAUGAAGGCUGCCAGCCAGUUACACCCAAGCACAAGCACAUAGCUUCCAAUAUGCUUUCAAAAUACCAGACACCAAGGGAUCACAAGAUUUUCGAGGAGAGCCUUGAAGUCGGAACACUGAAACCCAAACAAACAGGAAAAAGGACAUAGAGAAAAGCAUGACAUUGAAAAGAACAGAAAGAACAUAAAAACUAUAAUUGACAGCUUCAGAAAGUUAAGAAAAGAGAUUGAAUUCAUAAAACCAGAUCAGACGAUUAAAAAAGGAACAAUAAGAAACAAGAAAGAGCUCUUUGGAAAUUGAAAGUAUGAUUGCUGAAUAAAAAAAAAAUCCCUCUAGAAGAGUUAUAUGUGAAGGUCGUCCAAAUUGAAAUGGCCCACUGUGCUGUGUACCCAGCAGAAGAAUGAAAAAAUACCUGCACCAAUUCAGAACCUGAAGUUUCAGAACACUAGACUUUAAGAGAGGUGGGAAAGAGUUACCUAUAAAGCCUGGGGAAUCAAAUUGGCACCUGGUACUAUAGCAGCUAAACUGUGGAACCUGGGAGAUAAUGGAAUGCACUCCAUGUAAACAAGAAGACUCAAGAUUUAAGAAACAAGGCCACCAUCACUGGACAUAGAAAAAGAGGAUCCUCAGAAUCAAAUCUAUAGGAAAUUUCAAGGUAGAAGAUACUGCAACAGACUUAGAGAGUGACUAGAUGACUGGCUCAAGAGACCAGAGGGCUCCAGGAGUGACUGUUCUGGGAGGAAGAAAUGGAUUUAACCAAUUACUUGACAUGGAAACUGAAACUGAAUUUGGGAAGAAUUAGGGUUAUUAACAGAAAAGCAAGACAAUUACUAACUUAAGAAAAUAAGCUGAGUAGGAAAGAAAUGUAAUAAUAGCCCAGAUUUGAAAAAAAUAUUUACAUAGUCAUAUUAAUGUGAGCACUGAACACUGAUUUAAUAAAUGAUGGUAAAACAAUAAUGAGAUGAUGUAGGGAGAGAAACACACAUGGCAGAAGUGGUAAAAGUGGGCUAAAUCUUCGCAGUUCAUUAUAGAAAGUCAAUAGAUGAUGUACAGUUGCUAAAUCAAUCACAAAACAGCAGAAUAAUUGUAUAUGAAUUUACUGAAAAAGCUGAACAUUGGUGUGGGCUCCAUUUAAAGGUAGAACUUAAAUUAGGCAAGUGGGAGGAUAAUGGUUAUGUUAGAAAAAGUUACAUAAUAACUAACAAAGAUCAGGAACUGGGAAACGGAGCUAUAAAAAAGUAUACCAAUUUCAAAAUAUUUUAUGAUAGGGAAGAAAUAGGGUGGCCAGAAAAAGGGAAACAAAUAUUUUUUAAAACUGUACAAUCUCCUAAUGUUUUGCAUAAUCUUAUUCCCUUAUCCAUAGAAAUUCUAGAAAUGGAUAGCCCUCAAAUUUUUUGAACAUUGUAUAAAGUUUAGCAAAGUCUUUUAGCUUCAAAAAUUCUUUUGCUUUUUAAAAAUUUUAAGUAAAUAUCAUAUAAUUAUUUAAAUAAAAUUUAAUAUGCUCUGUAUCAAUCUAUCACCUAUCUUAUAUAUCUAAACCAUUUAUCCAUCUAUCUUUUUGUCUGCAUAUGUACUAAUUGAGCAACAUCUAGAAUGAGCUUCACCUAAUGUUAAUGAUGAUGCUUCUAAGUGAUGAGACUUGGAAUUAUUUUUUACACUUGUCUUUUUACUUUUUGUAUUGAUUAGAAUUGUUUAAUAAUAAUUAUAUUCAUAUUAAAGUAUCUUUAGAGUCUUGAAAUUGAAGACUUAUUUUUGAAUGAAUUUUAUGGCUU